GGCCAGGGCUUAAGCUUCCUGAAAGCCUGAGAGUCCUAGAUUACCAUGACUCAUUCAAAGGGUACUUAGAAGAUAGAAUUCUGCUCCUAGGAACUUGUACACUCCUGACACAGCAUCUCCUGGGAUCCAUUGCUGGAAAUCAUGAGUUCACCAGGUAAUUAUGGACACUGGCCAGCCAGCUCUAGCAUUCCAAGACUAACCUUGUGCAAGCAGAAAGUCCACGGUUCCUAGAUGGCCUUCGGAAGCAGCCAUCAUCAGCGGAGUGCGGCCCUGCUUGUCUGCCAUGUUGACAUCAGCUCCAUGGGCCAGAUGUAGAAGAUCCAGUGGAGAAUUCUGAGGCCCAAGGUGAUUUUAGAACUACUACAUGGAAGGAGCCUGCCCAGACAUCUGCACUGUACUGUGAUCUGGUGCAGAUUGAGAAUUCUAGCAGUUUGGGAGAAGUUAAAGCCUCUCAACAGGGAACACUGCAUUUAAAGGAUCCUGUAAACUGCAGCACCAGGAAAACCAUAGUCCAAGUCUUCAUUCUUCAGCUUGCAGUCACGUCAUCACCAUAUGCUGUACACUAGAGUAUUUAUGGCUUGAAUCACACAUGGAGCCAGUCUUAUCUCAGGCAACCAUGCUGUCUGCAUUAGUAUAAGAUAAAACUGUGCUAAUGACAGGAGGGCAUGUUUAAAUGUACGUUUCCAUGUAUGGGAUAAAAUACUUCGUCAAAUGAAGCUUGGUCAAAUGAAGCUUCAUGCUACUUCUCUGUGAAUGUGGUAUUUAUUUUAUGGGGCAGCAAAGGCAGGGAUUAGCUUCAUUUUUGCAUCUGAUUCUAGGCAGAUAGUGAUGCUAAAAGGUUAAUGCUUAAGUUACUGUCUUUCAGUUACUAUCUAACAG